rnacentral:rRNA from 1 species
CAGUAGCCGCGGGAAUACGGAGGGGGCUAGCGUUGUUCGGAAUUACUGGGCGUAAAGCGCACGUAGGCGGAUACUUAAGUUAGGGGUGAAAUCCCAGGGCUCAACCCUGGAACUGCCUUUAAUACUGGGUAUCUUGAGUUCGAGAGAGGUAAGUGGAAUUCCGAGUGUAGAGGUGAAAUUCGUAGAUAUUCGGAGGAACACCAGUGGCGAAGGCGGCUUACUGGCUCGAUACUGACGCUGAGGUGCGAAAGCGUGGGGAGCAAACAGGAUUAGAUACCCCAGUAGUCCCUGUCUCUUAUAC